AUGCUGAAUGUGGCGAUUUCCGGUCAACCCUGUAAUGUAUCUACCUCACCCCAUAUUCCAAAUAUUUCUCCCAUGUCCGAGAAAGCAUCAACAAACAUACCAUCAAAAUUUGUGGAAGUUGCUGCUGGUAAAAAAGUUUGUGAGGAUGGUUGUGAUGAUGUGGUGGGGCAAACUGAAGUUGAGGCAAACAAGGGUAAGGAUUGCAAAUUGGCUUUCAGCUCAAAGGACAAUAUUGUUGCAAGUGGCACAAUUGUUGACAUCAAUGUGCCUCAACAGCUGCUUCAUAAUAUUCCCUUAGGAGAGGGAAAUAUAAGAGGCGCUCCUAAACAAGCUGAUGGAAAGACGUGUGGUUAUUGUGUGAUGCGGUACACGAAGACUGCUCUUCACAUUGCAGCAUGUGCAAGGCAUAUUCACUUUGUGGAGGAACUGGUCAAAAUGAUGGAUGAAGAACACUUGGCACUUCACAACAAGAAAGAAAACACUGCAUUGAUUUUUGCCGCUGAAGCUGGAGCCAUAGAAAUUGCCAAGAUUAUGGUUCAGAAAAAAUAAGUUCUUGCCAACAAUUGUAACUGGUAAAGGACUGACACCGCUCUUUAUAGCUGCUUUGCUAGAACGGUCUGAAAUGGCGUGGUACUUAUACCCUAAAACGUAUCCAACACUAAAUGAAACGAACCGGAAUGCUCUAUUUUUUUGUUAUAUCGAUACUGGUCUUUAUGAUCUGGCCAUGAAGAUGCUAGAAGAUGAUACAACACUAGCAAUGGCCCGUAAUUCCAAUGCAGAAACUGCCUUACAUGUCUUGGCUCGAAGGCCUUUAGAAUUUGGUGGCCGAAGUACUUUAGGAAUGUGCAGUAGGCUCAUGAACUCAUUAGUCUCAGGCAUUGAGGAUUCGUACAAAAGCUCAAAGCAAACUAAAGCCCUAGAACUAGUCGAAUGCCUCUGGAAUCAAAUCUUGAAACACAACGAUGACGAUGUCAUGUGCCUCAUCACAGAACCUUCGGAAGUACUAUUUGACGCGACGAGAUUAGGAAAUUAUGAGUUCCUGUCUGUCCUUAUUAAUGCUUAUCCUGAUUUACUAUGGGAAACAGAUGACGAAAAUCGGACUAUAUUCCAUGUUGCAGUCUUGUAUCGUCAUGCAAGUAUCUUCAAUUUAGUACAUGAGACGGGUUCAAUCAAAGACAUCAUAGUGACAUAUACUGAUGAUGAGAAUAACAACAUUUUACAUCUUGCUGCAAAACUAGCACCGCAAAAUCAACUCAAUCUUGUGUCAGGAGCAGCUCUACAAAUGCAGCGAGAGUUAGUAUGGUUUGAGGAAGUGAAAAAGAUUGUUCAACCUGUGUCCAUAGAUAUGAAAAAUAAGGACGGCAAAACACCUCGAGAAUUAUUCACUAGUGAGCAUGAGGGGUUAUUGUGUAAGGGAGAAUCAUGGAUGAAGAACACUGCAAAUUCGUGCAUGCUUGUUGCUACCAUUAUCACCACUGUCGUGUUUUCAGCCGCAUUUAGCAUACCAGGUGGUAUAGCUGAUAAUACAGGAGCACCAAAAUUCCUAAAAGAUACAGCAUUUCUCAUCUUUGCCAUAUCAGAUGGAGUAGCACUCUUUUCCUCUUCAACUUCCAUGCUGAUGUUCUUGUACAUCCUCACCUCGCGGUAUGCAGAAAAUGAUUUUCUCAAAUCCUUACCGUUGAAGUUAAUGGUAGGACUCGCAUCACUCUUCAUCUCCAUGACAUCCAUGAUGAUAGCCUUCAGCACAGCCUUCUAUUUAUCUUGUCACUACGGAUUACGUUUCGUCUCGGAUUUUAUAUUUAUUUUUGCAUUUGUUCCAGUUGUCUUGUUCGUUUUCUUGCAAUAUCAACUCUUGUGCGAUAUGUUCUUGUCAACAUAUUAUUCGAGUCUUAUAUUUCAGCCAAGAAAACAUAUGAUCCAAUAGAAAGCCAAGUCCUCAAUGUUCAACCUUACCCCCAGAAUAAUGUGUAUCUAUGCAUGAUAAUUUAGGAAAAAUUUGUAAUAAAGUACUUUAGUAAUGGUGAUAUUGAUUCAAUAAGUCUUCGUACUUUGAGUGCUUGAAUCAACAAUGUUAGUGUAUAAGCAUUGAGCUAAUUUGAGCUGAGUGUUAAUUAGCCUAGUAUUUCAUAGUGUAUUCACUUUGUCUUAGAAAUUGACAGGUGUAAGGUUGAGAUGCAAUAUUAUGUGUGUGCAUCCAGCUAAGGCUAACGGUCAUGUACUCUGUGUGUGUGUGUGAUGGAAUAGAAAGAAAAAAACAGAAUAUACAUAUCCUUGCUCUCUGACUUAGAGAGUAAGCAGAGCAGUUUUACA